AAAGACUUAGUCCUAACCUUACUAUUAAUUCUUGCCAGACCUAUACAUGCAAGUAUCCGCGCCCCAGUGUAAAUGCCCCCAACUCCCCAUCAGGAUAAGAGGAGCAGGUAUCAGGCACACACCUACCGUAGCCCAAGACACCUUGCUCAGCCACACCCCCACGGGCACUCAGCAUUAAUUAACAUUAAGCAAUAAGUGAAAACUUGACUUAGUCAUGGCAACACCAGGGUUGGUUAAUCUUGUGCCAGCCACCGCGGUCAUACAAGAAACCCAAAUUAAUAGUGCACGGCGUAAAGAGUGAUCCUACACUUAUCGCCUCCGCCUGAGGCCAAAACGUGUCCAAGAUGUCACAAGCCCAAGACAUGCCUAAGCCCCUCCCAACCCGCCUCAACUUCAGCGAUCAACUAAUUCACGAAAGCCAGGGAACAAACUGGGAUUAGAUACCCCACUAUGCCUGGCCGUAAAUUCAAAUGCUUUUUAUUACCUAAGCAUUCGCCAGGGAACUACGAGCACAAACGCUUAAAACCCUAAGGACUUGGCGGUGUCCCAAACCCACCUAGAGGAGCCUGUUCUAUAAUCGAUAACCCACGCUACACCCAACCCCCCCUAGCCAUGAAACAGCCUAUAUACCGCCGUCGUCAGCUCACCUCCAUUGAAAGCCCAACAGUGAGCACAACAGUCUCACCCGCUAAAAAGACAGGUCAAGGUAUAGCCAAUGGGGGGGAAAGAAAUGGGCUACAUUUUCUGACACAGACAACAGCGAAAGAGGGCCUGAAACCUGCCCUCAGAAGACGGAUUUAUCAGUAAAACAUGACUAUCAUGCCUGUCUUAAGCCGGCCCUGGGACACGUACAUACCGCCCGUCACCCUCCUCGUAAGCGAACAUUCCCUUUCUCAUAAAACACCAACCAGUCUAAGAUGAGGU
rnacentral:ncRNA from 1 species